rnacentral:rRNA from 1 species
AUUGAACGCUGGCGGAAUGCUUUACACAUGCAAGUCGAACGGCAGCACGGGGCAACCUGGUGGCGAGUGGCGAACGGGUGAGUAAUACAUCGGAACGUGCUCAGUCGUGGGGGAUAACGUAGCGAAAGCUACGCUAAUACCGCAUACGAUCUACGGAUGAAAGCGGGGGACUCGCAAGAGCCUCGCGCGAUUGGAGCGGCCGAUGGCAGAUUAGGUAGUUGGUGGGGUAAAGGCUCACCAAGCCUGCGAUCUGUAGCUGGUCUGAGAGGACGACCAGCCACACUGGAACUGAGACACGGUCCAGACUCCUACGGGAGGCAGCAGUGGGGAAUUUUGGACAAUGGGCGCAAGCCUGAUCCAGCCAUUCCGCGUGCAGGAUGAAGGCCUC